GCCGGGAUGGCGGAACUGGUAGACGCACGGGACUCAAAAUCCCGCGAAUUAACCUUCGUGCCGGUUCGAUUCCGGCUCCCGGCACCA
rnacentral:tRNA from 1 species